rnacentral:rRNA from 1 species
UACGUAGGUGACAAGCGUUGUCCGGAUUUACUGGGCGUAAAGAGCGCGCAGGCGGUCGAUCAAGUCGAGUGUGAAGCCCCCGGCUCAACUGGGGAGGGUCAUUCGAUACUGAUCGACUCGAAGGCAGGAGAGGGUAGUGGAAUUCCCGGUGUAGUGGUGAAAUGCGUAGAUAUCGAGGAGGAACACCAACGGCGAAGGCAGCUCGCUGGGACGGUACUGACGCUGAGGCGCGAAAGGCGUGGGGGAGCGAACAGGA